rnacentral:rRNA from 1 species
UGGGGAAUCUUGCACAAUGGGGGAAACCCUGAUGCAGCGACGCCGCGUGAGCGAUGAAGCCCUUCGGGGUGUAAAGCUCUUUCGUCAGGGAAGAUAAUGACGGUACCUGGAGAAGCAGCUGCGGCUAACUACGUGCCAGCAGCCGCGGUAAUACGUAGGCAGCAAGCGUUGUUCGGAGUUACUGGGCGUAAAGGGUGUGUAGGCGGUUCUUUAAGUUUGGUGUGAAAUCUCCCGGCUCAACUGGGAGGGUGCGCCGAAUACUGAGGGACUCGAGUGCGGGAGAGGAAAGUGGAAUUCCUGGUGUAGCGGUGAAAUGCGUAGAUAUCAGGAGGAACACCGGUGGUGUAGACGGCUUUCUGGACCGUAACUGACGCUGAGACACGAAAGCGUGGGUAGCAAACAGGAUUAGAUACCCUGGUAGUCCACGCCCUAAACGAUGCAUAUUUGGUGUGGGCAGUUCAUUCUGUCCGUGCCGGAGCUAACGCGUUAAAUAUGCCGCCUGGGGAGUACAGUCGCAAGGCUGA